ncrna:unclassified sequences L4-Archaeoglobi ribosomal protein leader
CUGAAGGCCGCGUCUGGGUCAAUUGCGACAUGCAACACCCACUCGCCCUCAUCGCCCCACCUGAGGUGGGCACACUGGAUGAGGGCGACCGCGUCACCAUCAG